rnacentral:rRNA from 1 species
GACGAACGCUGGCGGCGUGCUUAACACAUGCAAGUCGAACGAUGAAGCCCUUCGGGGUGGAUUAGUGGCGAACGGGUGAGUAACACGUGGGCAAUCUGCCCUGCACUCUGGGACAAGCCCUGGAAACGGGGUCUAAUACCGGAUAUGACUGUCCACCGCAUGGUGGAUGGUGUAAAGCUCCGGCGGUGCAGGAUGAGCCCGCGGCCUAUCAGCUAGUUGGUGAGGUAGUGGCUCACCAAGGCGACGACGGGUAGCCGGCCUGAGAGGGCGACCGGCCACACUGGGACUGAGACACGGCCCAGACUCCUACGGGAGGCAGCAGUGGGGAAUAUUGCACAAUGGGCGAAAGCCUGAUGCAGCGACGCCGCGUGAGGGAUGACGGCCUUCGGGUUGUAAACCUCUUUCAGCAGGGAAGAAGCGAAAGUGACGGUACCUGCAGAAGAAGCGCCGGCUAACUACGUGCCAGCAGCCGCGGUAAUACGUAGGGCGCAAGCGUUGUCCGGAAUUAUUGGGCGUAAAGAGCUCGUAGGCGGCUUGUCACGUCGGUUGUGAAAGCCCGGGGCUUAACCCCGGGUCUGCAGUCGAUACGGGCAGGCUAGAGUUCGGUAGGGGAGAUCGGAAUUCCUGGUGUAGCGGUGAAAUGCGCAGAUAUCAGGAGGAA